AUGUACAUUCCUACAACAUUAAUGCACUGGAUCCCAUUAGAACUCUGUAGUUAAGAACGCUUGGGCUAGAGUAGUACUCAGAUGGGUGACUGCUUGGGAAUUCCUAGUGUUUUACAUG
rnacentral:rRNA from 1 species